CGCGGGCGCGGAUCGCAGAGACCCGGGGGCCUGCGAGGAGCUUGGCGCCGCCCUAGUCCCACCCGGGGUGCCGGAGCGCGGCCGGGGAGGUCGGAGCGUCCCGACCCGCAGGCAGACUGCUCUGAAGAGCUCCACACUUGCUCAUGGUUCUCAUUAAAGAAGAUUCAUGUAAGCUGCAUUUUGCAGUGACGGUUGAUGAUUUAAUCAAUCAU
rnacentral:lncRNA from 1 species